CCUACGGGAUGCAGCAGUGAGGAAUAUUGGUCAAUGGGCGCAACCCUGAACCAGCCAAGUAGCGUGCAGGAUGACUGCCCUAUGGGUUGUAAACUUCUUUUAUGAAGGAAUAAACUGAGGCACGUGUGCCUUUUUGUAUGUAUUUUAUGAAUAAGGAUCGGCUAAUUCCGUGCCAGCAGCCGCGGUAAUACGGAGGGUCCGGGCGUUAUCCGGAUUUAUUGGGUUUAAAGGGAGCGCAGAUGGGUUGUUAAGUCAGUUGUGAAAGUUUGCGGCUCAACCGUAAAACUGCAAUGGAUACUGGGAGGCUUGAGUGCGGUUGAGGUAGGCGGAAUUCGUGGUGUAGCGGUGAAAUGCUUAGAUAUCACGAAGAACUCCGAUUGCGAAGGCAGCCUACUAAACUGUUACUGACAUUGAGGCUCGAAGGUGUGGGUAUCAAACAGGAUUAGAUACCCUUGUAGUC
rnacentral:rRNA from 1 species